AGCCUUGUGGAACAUAAAGUUGGCCCCAUUAUGCAAGCACGUUACCUUGUGGUCUUUAAUCAGAUCAUUUACUUCUUGUAUAUGCUUUCCCUUCCAACUCUUGGAUUAUUUUGCAAAAUCUACAGCUGGGUGUCACAUUCCGAUCGUGGUGUCAUUGCUUCUCAGCACGCAGACAACACCGCUUGCUUUUACAUCACUUUUCUUUGCUGCUACAUUCCAGUAUUAUUACAUUUCAGUAUGCCACACCCAUUGGAUCCCACUGAGACUGACUGGAUAAAGAAGUAGAGAGGAGAAAAAGAGACAGUUGGGGUUCUGUCGGUUGGUUGAUUUUUUUUUUUUUUGUGUGUGUGUGUUUUUUUGCUUGUUUUCAACAGGAUUUACCAAGAACUUGUUCACACCAUUUUACUAUUGGAAAGCAGCUUGUAGUUUUGUAGUAAAGGCUAUUUUCACCAAAGAAAUAAAAUGUUUUUGGAUGUGUAUUGAAGUAUGAUU
rnacentral:lncRNA from 1 species